rnacentral:siRNA from 1 species
UGCCAGAUACAUACAUAGAGUUGC